CUCGUAGGCGGUUUGUCGCGUCGACUGUGAAAACCCGAGGCUUAACCUCGGGCCUGCAGUCGAUACGGGCAGACUAGAGUUCGGUAGGGGAGACUGGAAUUCCUGGUGUAGCGGUGAAAUGCGCAGAUAUCAGGAGGAACACCGGUGGCGAAGGCGGGUCUCUGGGCCGAUACUGACGCUGAGGAGCGAAAGCGUGGGGAGCGAACA
rnacentral:rRNA from 1 species